rnacentral:misc_RNA from 1 species
GGCCGAUGAGAUGAGGUUCCGAUACCGUUGGGCGAGUCCACUCCACUAUAUUAACACACCUGGAGUCUGUAACUACGCUGAGUCGAGAGAUUGUCACAAUUCUAAAGGUGAGAAAGGCAUGUGUGUUGUUGGAGCAAUCAACAACUACACUAAUCAACUUCAAACUUUUGGAGAGUCUCCUAAUAAAUAUAACCUUACAGAGAGUUUAAUGUUCCUUGCCCAUUUCGUGGGAGAUGUUCACCAACCAUUACA